rnacentral:rRNA from 1 species
UGGCUGUCGUCAGCUCGUGUCGUGAGAUGUUGGGUUAAGUCCCGCAACGAGCGCAACCCUUUUCCUUAUUUGCCAGCGGGUUAAGCCGGGAACUUUAAGGAUACUGCCAGUGACAAACUGGAGGAAGGCGGGGACGACGUCAAGUCAUCAUGGCCCUUACGACCAGGGCUACACACGUGCUACAAUGGUCGGUACAAAGGGUUGCUACCUAGCGAUAGGAUGCUAAUCUCAAAAAGCCGAUCGUAGUCCGGAUUGGAGUCUGCAACUCGACUCCAUGAAGUCGGAAUCGCUAGUAAUCGCGGAUCAGAAUGCCGCGGUCGAAUACGUUCCGGGCCUU